UUUUCCUCUAUUUGCAUCAAUCUCCACCUCCAUCCUUUUGUUCGUAGUUGCUAAGCUAUAUGGGUUCUAGAAGAAUCCAAAAUCGGCGAUAUGUCCAUAAAAAUGGUUAUAUACACCUUACAAUUUUGUAAAUUUCAUACUGUGCAAGUACAUAUGUGGGUAUUUUUUAUUGGAUUGAAAAGAAUUUUUGAAUUUUCUUAUAAUUCCCAAAUUUUUCUUACCCUAUUUUGAUCCUGUUUCAUACUAAUCCGUACAAUCUACAAUCUAUGAAAGCUAAUCCUAAUUCAAAAUUCAAAAAAUUCUCAAGGAGAAUCCAAAAAUACCCCUAAUUCCCCUUUUCCCACAUCGUUCAGAGCCUAAAAAUGAACCCUUAUUUUGUUUCUAUAUAAAGCUCCUUAUGAGAUAAAAAUGCCAAUUCUCAAGGUCUGAAAAGGCUAAAAAACUUUAUUGAGUGAUGUACCUAUGAAAAAUGUCACAUUCAAUGAUUAAAAUAAGGAAUUUAUGCUUGAACUUAGGUUAGUUUGGUGGAUAUGAUAUCGUUUGUUGCAUGGUUGUAGCGAAAUCAAGUAGAAAGUGGCUUGACUUGAAAAUAUUAAAGAAAAGUUUGAAAUAGAUAAAAUGUUGGUUAGGCUACGAGUAGUUAAGACAUUAUACGAAUCUUAGCACAACUCGUAAAGAUGGCAGUGGCUAAGCUUAAGCUGGAAGAGCUAAGUAUUAGAUGAUAACUAUUCAUAAAGAGUGAAUAUGAAUCAUAGCAUGCAAUCAUAAAGAGAAUAUUGAGCUAUGAUGAAGUCCAGAAGUGAAGUCAUUUAAGACUGCGAGUCAUAAGGUUUGGCUACGACUCAUAAUGAACAAUAGUAAAGAGAUCAAUGUUCAAAAUCCUAAAGUUUAAGGCACAAGUGAUAAUGAGUGAAGACCAUGAGUCGUAAGGACUGCUAUGACUCUUGGUGAGUAAUCAUAAUGAAAAUAUAGGCUUGAAAGUUGGAUGAUGAAAUUACACUGGAAUGUCAGCAACUAGUAAACAUACGACUCAUAAAGAGACCUUACGAGUCGUAAUGAUUGCCGACUUAAUUUUCCUAUUCCAUUUUUAUUAGGAUUAUUAUUUUGAGAUACUAUAAAUACCUUAGGGUUAUUCCUUUAUUAGGUUAUGCAAUUUGAAUGCACUUUUACAUUUCUUUUGAUACUCUUAGCAUACUUUGAUCAUUGAGAUUUUGUUCUUGGAGUUUUGGUUUUGCAUCAAAUUGGAGACUUUGGAUUUAUUCUUUCAUUAUUCUACAAUUAAUUACAUGUGUUCUUCAUUUAUGUCAUAUAUUAUUUCAUGAACAUGAUCAGCUAAAUUCCUUAACUAGGGUGGUGGGAACCCUGACGAAUUAGCUAUAUAAGGGAAGUAGGAGAUCUAUCUAAUCUAUUGUGGUUGCGUGUAUUGCAAACUUUUUCAUAUUAAUUUGACCUAAGCUACUACAGAAGUGUAGUGAUUUCCUGUAUUCGAGAACAUCCUCACAAGGAAGUUUGAGAUUAGGAAAAAGAGGUUACAAUAGUUUUGAGGCUAUCAACCCUCGUCUAAUCAAAUUGAGAAUUAAAAGGUGACACUUGUAUUGAGGUUAUAGACAAGGUACAACAAGGUGAAACUCUGAGAUUCACAAGGUAAAGGGUGAAAUCUAUCAAUGUGCUCAUAAGAUGGUUGAUAGUACAUAGCUUGUCAACUUUGCAUACAAAGCAGGAGGUUAGGUGGAUUGAACACGAGAAUCUUAUGUAGUUGUGAAGCCCGGGGGAACACAGUCCUAAUAUUCAUAUUCUAUUUUUUACAAACUCAACCUUCCAAGUUCGGCUCCCUGUUACUAUUGCCUUCACAUUCCCCCAUUUACUUUUCCGCAGUGUUCGUGGAUUUUGUCAAAGUUUAAGAUACUAUUUGAUGUCUUCACUUUGGGAUCGGCCCCAAUCUUAGUUGGGUUACUAUAUUUGGCAUCGACCAUAGCAUACUUUUUGGAGGUUAGUUUUGGGUGAUAUCAUUAAGCAAGAGUUAAAUUUUUUUUUUUACAAAUUUCUCAAGAAAGUUGUCGAUAGAUGUGGUGGUUGAAUUUUCCAGUGGUCGAGAUUACGAUGAUAGCUCGAAGUUCUAUUUUGCUACCCUAAAAAAGGUAAACACACCUCUCACUUUUAGUUUUAUUAUUAAUUUUUUGUCAUAUCUUUCUCCAUAGCAAUAGUUGUGUAGUUAUAGACGUGGUAAUAUUGGGAUUGUUUGUAGUAGAAGGCUUUGAAGCGUAUAGGAUUUUGAUGUGAUAAGUGUUGUGAUGAUUAUGCUUGAAUUUAUUAUUUUUUAUCAAUAAUUUCUUUAUUAAUCAAAAUUGUCAUUACAUACCCGGGUAGAAGUUAACCAUCUACCACCUAUCACCUAUCUUUGAGCUAGUUUAAUUUUACAUAUACUGCUAACUCUACUCAACCUACUCAAAAACUCAAGGGGUAUUAUAGUGGUUCUUCUUUCUAGGAAAAUGAUUCAGCAUCCUCAAGGUGCUUUGCCACGUAGCUGUAUUCCUCCCCUGAAUGUGCAUAUUCAUUCCAAUCUCCUUACAUAUUUUUUCCAAGUUGAGCCGAGCUAUCUAAAACCUCAGUAUGUCUAGAUAUAAUACAAAGUCAUAGAAAAAGCAGGAAAAACUAUCUCAGUAGGUCCAGUCUUUUUCUUAGCUAAUUUACAUAUCCAAUCUAGUUCCUGCAUCCAGGGCAUUAUGCUUCUGUUAAAGCCUAGCCUUUUUACCAAGGUACUCCACAACUGUUUACUAUAGUUACAUUUAAAGAAGAGAUGUCCAAAUGUCUCAUCAGUUUGAUUGCAAAAGGCACACUCUAGUGUUACUUGGAUUCUAAUUUUCUAAAGUGUAUCAACUAUAGUUAAUCUCUUAUUCACUGCUAACCAUAGAUUGAACUUGAACCUGGGAUGGAUGUAUUUUGCAAAGUAAUACUCUUCCAGUCUACUUUUGUGUAUUGUGGUUGCGAACUCGGAUAAUCCUUCCCGACAGAGAAUUUACCACCUUAUACUAUCUUAUCUAGUGUUUCCAUCAAGACCUCCUCGCUCUGCAAAGUAUCACCUUUCUACUAUUAGUUAUCUUCCUCACUACCCAAGCUGUAUUUUUUGGUAUUGGCAUAUUAUUCAGGUUCCUUUGCUUGACAUAAUAGUAGUGCACCCAUUUGAUCCAUAGUGUGUCCUUGUUUUUUGAAAUAGCCCACAGAUGUUUUAAUAUAGCUGCCUUGUUCAACAGCUUCAAAUCACUAACUCCCAGUCCACCUGUUGAGCCUGGUGGACAUAUCUUCUCCCAUGCUAUUAAUGCUUUUUUUGAUAAUUCCUAUUGUCCUAUCCAUAAGAAGGUUCUACAUAUAGCUUCCAGCAUCUUAAUCACUUUCUUAGGCAAUAUGAAUAUCUGUGCCCAGUAACUCUGCAUACCAAAUAGUACUGCUUUUAUAAGUUAAAGCCUACCAGCAUAAGAUAGCAGCCUUGUUGUCCAUCAUAUAAUUUUGGCAGAGAAUUUCUCCACUAGAGGCAUACAUUAUGUAAUUGUCAGCUUCUUUGUAGAUAAUAGAACUCCCAGGUACUUGAAAGGUAAAGUCCCUUAUAAAAAUCCCAAACUCUGUACCAGCCACACUUUAGAUUGUUGCUUAAUCUUACCAUAUAGAUGGAGCUUUUAUUAGCAUUUUCUUCUAGCCCAGAUGCUCUUGAGACCCUUUGAAAUGUUUGUUACAGCAGCAAGAUAGAUUCUUUGUCAGCCCUGUAAAACAUAAACAGGUCAUCUGCAAAACACAUAUGUAUUAAGUUAAAUCUCUUGCAUCUUGGAUGGAAGUGGAACUAUUUCUGUUGUGCUAGUUGUUGCAUUUCUCUAUGAAGGUAUUCCAUGGCUAUUACAAAGAGGUAAGGAGACAUGGGAUCCUCUUGCCUCAUUUCCCUUCUAGCUUGGAAUAAUUUAGUAAGCCCUUCAUUAAGCAUCAAAGAGUAAGACACAGUUGAUACACAUUCCAUAAUCUAAUCUCAACAAGCAUGGCCUUAAGAAAAGGUCAUUUUAAGGUAUCAUAAGAUUUCCUGUGGUACACUUUAAGGACACAUCUAGGUGAUAUAUUUUUCCUAGUAUACCCGUUGAAUAGCUCAUGACUAAGUAGAACAUUAUUUGUGAUAGAUCUUGUUUUAAUAAAGGUAGACAGUGAGCAACCAAUUACACCAUUCAGCACCUAUUUUAUUCUGUUAGCCAGGAUCUUAUCAACUAUUUUGUAGGUGGUGGAACAACAAGUUAUGGUCUAAAUCCCUUAACCUUAUUUGGUGAUGGAACCUUAGGAAUCAGUGUGAUAGUUGUGCAGUUCCAAGCUCUCUUCAUCUUUCCAGUAUAAAAUAAUGUUGCACAGCUGAAUAGACCUCUAUUCUGAUGAUAGACCACUGCUGUUAGAACAAAUCAAUAGGGUACCCAUCCAUCCUUGGGCUUUUUUAUUUAGGCAUAUUUCUAACCACUUGGUGUAUUUCCUCUGAACUCACCAUUUUUACUAGCUAAAUUUGUUGUUCUCUAGUAAGAAAGACACUACUUUGAUCCCUUCUGAGUUUGGAUAUGGCAUUUUAUUAGCACAAUCACCCAUAAGUGCAGUGAAUAUGUCAACAAAUUCAACCUCUACUUCCUGUGAUCCUAUGAGCUUUGUUCCAAUUUCUAUAUAGAUUGAUAAAAUUGUAUUCUAGGCAGACCUGAUCUGGAGCUGAGCAUGAAAAUAUUUUGUAUUAGCAUCACCAUUAUCAAUCCAACAUGCUCUAGAUUUUUGUCUUAAAACUUGCUCCUCUACUAAGCUUCAUUUUUGAAUAUCCUUUAAAAUAGCCUUUUCCUAGUCAAACAAAUCCUGAUUAUUUAAUUGGAUAGUAAUCUGAGCUUAUACUAUUUCCAGUUGUUGUCUAGCCUGGGAAAGAUUUUGAGCAUAAGAAGCCAUGUAAGUGUUGAGGUCCUUCGCUUGUACUUUGAGUUUCUUAUAUCUCUUCUAGAGGAUAGUCAUAGGGUCCCCUCUCAUAUAUCAACUCCAUACUUGUUGCACACUCUGUUGAAACUGAUGAUGUAGAAAUACUAAAGCAUAAAGUCUGAAAGGCUUUAGAUAUACGCAUUCUUUGUGUAUACAUUAGACCAAUAUUAGUGAGUGAUCAGACAUUCUCGAGUUCAAGAAAUACACUUCAGUGUGAAAAAUCUUUAUAUCUAUUCAUAAUUACCAAGCACCCAGUCAAUUCUGCUAUAUACUCUAUUUGCAUCCUGCUUUUGUUGGUUCAAGUAAAGUAACUACCCUUUGAUAUCAAUGGUGUUAGCUGCAGAUUAUCUAUCAACUCUUUAAAUCCUUUGAUCUCAUGGUGUGUUACUGGUUGACCUAUUUUAUCAUCAGUGCUCAGGACAUUGUUAAAGUCACCACAUAAUAGCCAGGGUUCAUAAAUAUUCCCACUAAUACAUUGGAUAUCAGGCCACAAUGAUUCUUUUUGAGACAACUCAUUCUUAGCAUAUACAAUAGUGACAAUAGUUAAGAAAUCUAUCGAUACAUUCUGUACCCUACAAUGCACAUAUUGCUCAUGUACUUGCAAUAUUUGUACAUGAAGGUGUUUUUUCCAAAACAACCAGACUCUGCCAUUUUCACUACGUGGAAAUUUUUUUACAUAAGACCAUUCUUUAUUAAAUUUUAGAAGUACAUCCUUAGCAUUUCUUUCUUUAACUCUUUUUUCUAAACAACCAAAUACAUCUAUUUUAUUCUUUUUUCAUAAAGAGGAUCACCUCUUUCUGCUUAAAGGGAUUAUUUAACCCUCUUACAUUCUAGGUACAGAUAUUUAUGGAGGUUGGUGAGGUACAACCUGGCUUAGUCUUGAGGGACCAGCUCUAUUAUUUUCUAUUUUAUUCAAUACAUCAAAUUUGUUACCUGGAAACUUGCUUUCCAUACCACUCAUAGUAGCCACUUCAGGUUCAGCUAUUCCAGUAUCUUCCUUCACCUUAUUUUGGUCCUUAACGACAGCUUAAUCUUGUCAAACUUUCCUAGUUGGUAUCAUUUUCUUCCUUCUUUUACCUCUUCUUUUUUGUUUAGGGAGUUUCUUAAAUGCCUCCUCUUCUUGCUCUUUCUAUUUAUCUUGAAUAGGUUCUUUAUUCUUUAGCCAGCAUUCCUCAUCUAUGUGUCCAAAUCUAACAUAAUCAGAGCAGAAUUUUAGCUUUCAAUCAUAUUCAAUCCCUUUCUUAAUGGUACCAAAUGGUGUGUGAAUCUCAAUAGAGUCUAGGAGCAGAUAGGAGAUAUCUACUUUGAUCAAUACUUGAGCAUAGAGAUUCUAUUCAUUUCUACAGUGUACCUAUCAGUAUGAAAGGGUCUUCCAAUUACACUAGCCACCUUGCUUAGUGCCUCCACAAUCCAACAACGCACAGGCAUCCCAGGUAAGUUAACCCAUAGGGGAAUUGUGGUGAUGUAUUCAGUGUCAAAAACAAAAUCCAUUACCCAAUGCUUCAAUAUUAAUGUCUUAUUGUGGUAAGUGCAAGGGCCAGCUUGCAUGACUUUUUUUCUAUCCUCAAUCGAUGAAAAUCGAAAUAUAUAAUAGCCGUCCGCAUGGUACAGGAUUUGGGGAUUUUUCACAAAGUUCCACACAGUAGUUACAAAAUUGUCCAUAAACUUCUCAUAAGGAGUAUCACCAAGUACAUAUGAGUGCAGUCGACCAGUGAUUAUCAGUUGCUUGCAUGUCCUCCAUAAUCAACUUAACCACUUUCUUUUGCUCGCAUUAGUUAGGUGGUUGAUAUGUCAGCAUACUACCUUUGUUUGCACCUCUGUUCAUUGGAGAUUUUGGGACCUUUAUUGUCUUUGUUUUUUGUGUAGCUGGAUUUUCAGAUGUCGAGCUCGUUGAAGAACUAACAUCUGAGAUUUAAAGUCUCUGAGGGAGGGUCACUGUUGAGGUAAUUGGGUUUUUAUCUUUUGAUUUUUCUCUCAAACACUAUUGUAUUCAACAUUUUCCUCAUCAUCAAGUUCCUCUUCCUCGUGAAUAGGUUGAAAUUAAGUUGGGAGGAAGCUACCAAAAGUUAAAGAAGAACAUUUUCGUUAUGUUUCCAUUGCCGUAGUGGCCAUCACUAUCAUGGAGGUCGCCGUAUUACAUCGUCGUCCCAUGUUCGGUGCACGUUAGCUUGCCUUGGCUUAUCGUGUGUCGAAUUUAAUAUUUUUCUUUAUUCAAACAAGUGCCGGUUGGAAUUCGGUCCACGAUUUUCUCAUUUUUUGAUAGGAUAAACCUCAUUAAGUAAAAAUGAAGAUGUUGUGUUGAUAAUGCCCC
rnacentral:lncRNA from 1 species